UACGUAGGUGGCAAGCGUUGUCCGGAUUUAUUGGGUUUAAAGGGUGCGUAGGUGGUCUAUUAAGUCAGUGCUGAAAUAUCCCGGCUUAACCGGGAGGGUGGCAUUGAUACUGAUGGACUUGAGUAAAGUUGAGGUUGGCGGAAUUGACGGUGUAGCGGUGAAAUGCUUAGAUAUCGUCAAGAACACCUAUUGCGAAGGCAGCUAACUAAGCUUUAACUGACACUGAGGCACGAAAGUGCGGGGAUCAAACAGG
rnacentral:rRNA from 1 species